rnacentral:rRNA from 1 species
GACGAACGCUGGCGGCGUGCUUAACACAUGCAAGUCGAACGGUAAGGCCCUUCGGGGUACACGAGUGGCGAACGGGUGAGUAACACGUGGGUGAUCUGCCCUGCACUUCGGGAUAAGCCUGGGAAACUGGGUCUAAUACCGGAUAGGACCACUGCCUGCAUGGGUGGUGGUGGAAAGCUUUUGCGGUGUGGGAUGGGCCCGCGGCCUAUCAGCUUGUUGGUGGGGUGAUGGCCUACCAAGGCGACGACGGGUAGCCGGCCGUGAGAGGGUGACCGGCCACACUGGGACUGAGAUACGGCCCAGACUCCUACGGGAGGCAGCAGUGGGGAAUAUUGCACAAUGGGCGCAAGCCUGAUGCAGCGACGCCGCGUGAGGGAUGACGGCCUUCGGGUUGUAAACCUCUUUCAGCACCGACGAAGCGCAAGCGACGGUAGGUGCAGAAGAAGGACCGGCCAACUACGUGCCAGCAGCCGCCGUAA